UGAGGAAUAUUGGUCAAUGGGCGAGAGCCUGAACCAGCCAAGUCGCGUGAAGGAUGACGGCCCUACGGGUUGUAAACUUCUUUUGUCAGGGAGCAAUUGAGUCCACGUGUGGGCUUAGCGAGAGUACCUGAAGAAAAAGCAUCGGCUAACUCCGUGCCAGCAGCCGCGGUAAUACGGAGGAUGCGAGCGUUAUCCGGAUUUAUUGGGUUUAAAGGGUGCGUAGGCGGAAUAUCAAGUCAGCGGUAAAAAUUCGGGGCUCAACCCCGUCGUGCCGUUGAAACUGAUGUUCUUGAGUGGGCGAGAAGUAUGCGGAAUGCGUGGUGUAGCGGUGAAAUGCAUAGAUAUCACGCAGAACUCCGAUUGCGAAGGCAGCAUACCGGCGCCCAACUGACGCUGAAGCACGAAAGCGUGGGUAUCGAACAGG
rnacentral:rRNA from 1 species